rnacentral:lncRNA from 1 species
CAGAGAACAUUUUAAAAUCCUACUGAACGUUUUUUGGAGGAUGAUCCAAAAGUUUGUGUGAGUAGAUGGGAGCAAUGUUGACUUUUUAUAGCACUCCCGAAACCUUCAGCAGAUGAGAUGAGGUAGCUGGAACGAACAUAAAGAUACAGAGUUGACAUCAGUGUACAAGUGUCUUCACUGAUUGCGACAGAGUCCCCCUACUGGGCCUUACACACCAACAGUAAUUAAUACAAAUGACAAUGCUGAUCACUAGUCUAUAAACCUAUUAGAGGUUAUAGUGCAGUUAAAAUUAUUCGGCCCCAGCCUGUUCAAGUUAUGGGUACUGCUUUGAUAAUUUCGAGGUAUAGUUGAACGCUAAAAUUUAAUAUAAAAAUUCUAGUUUAUGUUUUUGCAAAAAAUAUAUGUUAUUUAAAAAAGACUAUUUCAUU